CCUACGGGUGGCAGCAGUGAGGAAUAUUGGUCAAUGGACGCAAGUCUGAACCAGCCAUGCCGCGUGCAGGAAGACGGCUCUAUGAGUUGUAAACUGCUUUUGUACGAGGGUAAACGCAGAUACGCGUAUCUGUCUGAAAGUAUCGUACGAAUAAGGAUCGGCUAACUCCGUGCCAGCAGCCGCGGUAAUACGGAGGAUUCAAGCGUUAUCCGGAUUUAUUGGGUUUAAAGGGUGCGUAGGCGGUCGGAUAAGUUAGAGGUGAAAUCCCGAGGCUCAACUUCGGAAUUGCCUCUGAUACUGUAGGACUAGAGAUCGGAUGCAGCAGGCGGAAUGUGUAGUGUAGCGGUGAAAUGCAUAGAUAUUACACAGAACACCGAUUGCGAAGGCAGCUUGCUAGGCCGGAUCUGACACUGAUGCACGAAAGCGUGGGGAUCGAACAGGAUUAGAUACCCGUGUAGUC
rnacentral:rRNA from 1 species